rnacentral:rRNA from 1 species
AUUGAACGCUGGCGGCAGGCCUAACACAUGCAAGUCGAACGAGUGGCGGACGGGUGAGUAAUGUCUGGGAAACUGCCUGAUGGAGGGGGAUAACUACUGGAAACGGUAGCUAAUACCGCAUACCAUCGGAUGUGCCCAGAUGGGAUUAGCUAGUAGGUGGGGUAACGGCUCACCUAGGCGACGAUCCCUAGCUGGUCUGAGAGGAUGACAGGCCACCCUGGACCUGGAACACGGUCCAGAGUCCUCGGGAAGGCAGAAGUGGGGAAUAUUACACAGUGGGCGCAAGCCUGAUGCAGCCAUGCCGCGUGUAUGAGGAGGGCCUUCGGGUUGUAAAGUACUUUCAGCGGGGAGGCGUUACCCGCAGAAGAGGCACCGGCUAACUCCGUGCCAGCGGCCGCGGUAUAC